GAUAGACACCCCCAUUAGUGACCUCGGCAGCGCGGGGACUGGAGGGGGCGAACGCGCCGCGCCGGGGCCACCCCUGGGAGCGACGAGCGUGAAGACCUACGUGCCAGUUGACAGACGUGUGGGACUUGGUGAUACGGGCUGCCGUGAACCUCGCCGGGCCUGGCCUGGCUCGACCGAGCGAUGGUGCCAGUUGACCGGCGGCGUGGACUUGGGGAGGACGGCGCGACGGCUGCCAGCUGGCGGGGGACGGGGGUCGCCCUCGUACGGCAGGCAGGCGGCUCCCGGGGAAGGAAAGGACGGAGACGCCCGGGCGAAGGCGCUGGUGCCAGUUGACAGGCAGGCGCGGGAGACGGAAUUCGCGCAUGAGCCGUCGUGCCAGUUGACGGGGCGCGCGGGGCAGCCCAUACACACAUAUACACGCCGUGGCUAGCCAGCCUCUCGGGGGGCGAGGCGUUGGUGCCAGUUGACGGGGGCGCUCCGGGCGUGGUGGGCGCCGAGUCUUCGUGCCAGUUGGCGCCGUGCGUGGACUUGGGGCGAGGCGCGGAGUCGGUCGUCCGGCACGCAGGGGGGGGGGGGGGGGGCGCGCACGGGGCUGUUUGUGUUUCGGGCCGAGCGCCAGGGCCCGGUGGUCCCCCCCGGAAGAUCGAGCGUAGCGUAGGUCCCUCCGGCGCGAGAGCCCUCACCCUCGUGGUAGGCGAGGUGGAGGUGAACCCAGGGUGGGUGCUGGUAGGAAUAUAUAUCUGCUACGCGGCGGUGUUCCUUCCGGACGGGCGUGCCCGCGCCCCUUCGCCUCGGACCCGGGGGGCAACCCCACGCAUCCCAGCCAGGCGACGCGCAUGGAAGCGGCGGCAGCGCGGCCAGAGACGAUGUGGCCCCUCCACAGCGGCAUUCGUCACUCGCACCCCCCGGGGGCCUGUAGCCCGGGGCCGGCGGGAGCGGCGUGGUGUCAGUUGACAGGAUGCCCGCGGGGCGCCCUCGCCGCUGAGGGGAGAGCCGACGUGAGAACGGCCCAAAGACGCCCUGUUCGGCUGAUCGGGCGAAUCUGCAGGCCCAGUUUGUAUGGGACAUUUUCUGCCACCGCCUUUGCCCCAUACAAAGUGGGCCCCCACGAACGACUUUCGCACGGCCAAACGUUUGGCCGAAAGCCCGUACUCCAACUGGGGUCGGUGGAUAUAUCUAGGGAGCAAGUAGUCUGGCGGCCGAAAGCGAGCGGACGAACCUCCGUCUACAUCCUUCCAUACUUGGCAGGCUACCUGUCCGAGCUGAUGGUCUUGAACCCCCGCGGUUAGGCUUCAGCAAGGCCCGUAGCCAAGCACGUCGGGAUGGACCCUGGGCCUAAACCCCCCGGACGUCCUCCCCCCGGCGUGUCAAGCCCUGGAGCCCUAGCGUGUGCUGGGCCCCAGGCAUGGUCUGGGUUCGGUGCUGGAUUGCUGCGCUGGCCAACCUUCUCUCCCGUCCCAAUCCAUGGGGAGCGCCGCCCUUGAGUAGCCCGUUCGCCGGCGUGACUCUUGGGUCCGGUCUCCCCGAACGAGGCCCGUAUGCCGCAGCCCGUUGCCUCCCUCAGGGAGCGCAUCGGAUCCUGCGUGCGGACCGGUGCCUGGUGGGCUUACAGUGGGGGCAAUUGGAUGGUUGCUAGUGACCUCCCGGUACCCGGGGGCGCCGCUGCAGCCGGCGAGCUCGUCUCGCCCCUCCAGAGUGAAUACCUACUGCUUUGCUGCUCCGGGGGCUUUCGGGCGCCGGGGGUGCCGGUUUAACCGCGCCUCCGGUUACGUCCGGGAGGAACAAGG
rnacentral:misc_RNA from 1 species